CGUACACUCCUACGGGAGGCAGCAGUGGGGAAUAUUGGACAAUGGGCGCAAGCCUGAUCCAGCCAUGCCGCGUGAGUGAUGAAGGCCCUAGGGUUGUAAAGCUCUUUUGUGCGGGAAGAUAAUGACGGUACCGCAAGAAUAAGCCCCGGCUAACUUCGUGCCAGCAGCCGCGGUAAUACGAAGGGGGCUAGCGUUGCUCGGAAUCACUGGGCGUAAAGGGUGCGUAGGCGGGUCUUUAAGUCAGGGGUGAAAUCCUGGAGCUCAACUCCAGAACUGCCUUUGAUACUGAAGAUCUUGAGUUCGGGAGAGGUGAGUGGAACUGCGAGUGUAGAGGUGAAAUUCGUAGAUAUUCGCAAGAACACCAGUGGCGAAGGCGGCUCACUGGCCCGAUACUGACGCUGAGGCACGAAAGCGUGGGGAGCAAACAGGAUUAGAAACCCGAGUAGUCCCAU
rnacentral:rRNA from 1 species